ACGGCUGAACCAGCAACUUGGAAGAAUGUAAGGCAAUAGCCGACUGCAUAAUAUUAUUAAAUGUUUUUAUUUUAAUAUAAUGUAGUUACUACUAGGUAGUUUAAAUUUCUAGGUAGAAUUAUGAUGAUGACAUUAUCUAUCUAUAAGUCUUGACCAAAUUACGUGCCAGCAGUCGCGGUAAUACGUAGAAGACGAGUGUUAUUCAUCUUUAUUAGGUUUAAAGAGUACCAAGACGGUUAAUAAAGCCCAGAAUAAAUGAACACGGGGGACUCAUUGACUAGAGUUAUAUGAAAGGAAGCUAUAAGGUACUGUUGAGUGUAGAGAUAAAAUUCUUUGAUACCAGAUAAGUGGCACAGAUUUAUGCGAAGGCAUCUUCUUAUGUAAUAACUGACGUUGUAGGACGAAGGCUUUUGAAGUGAACAGGAUUAGAUACCCUAGUAAUCUAAGCAGAAAAUGAUGAAUGUCAUAGGCUACUAUUAUGAUUCUAUAAGAAAAAAGAAAAAACUUAUAUCAAAUUUGAUUCGACUAAAGAAAAGAUUGUCGGAAGGGUCUUUUCUUGAAUCAAAAGUAAAAUCUACGAAAGUGGUCUAUAAAUGAAAGUGUAAGCAUUCCACCUCAAGAGUAAUUUGGCAACAUUGGAACUGAAAUCAUUAGACCGUUUCUGAAACCAGUAGUGAAGUAUGUUGUUUAAUUAGAUGAUCCACAAAAAACCUUACCACAAUUUGAAUAUAUAUCUUUAAAGAUAUUUACAAGCGCUGCACGGCUGUCUACAGUUAAUGUCGUGAGACUUUGGUUAGUUCCAUAAAAUUAACGUAAGCCCUCAUUUUAUUUCUAAAUAAAGUUUUUUUUCUACCACAAAUGAUAAAAUUUGUGAAGAAAUAAUAGGAACAUGACAAGUCAUCAUG
rnacentral:rRNA from 1 species